GGACUCUGGACAGACCCUGGCACCGCCCCUCCCACCAGGACGGACGCCGGGCCAGUCGCGCGGGGACACCGGGGCGGUACGCGUACAGCGGGAAGGGGUCUGUGGCGACUGACCUAGCGCCUGGCGGGACGGAGGCCACUCGCCUUCCUCACACGAGAUGUGGGCAGCUUUCCAGAGACACUAAGUUUGCGAAGUUUGUGGGGCACCUGUGUGGCUCUCUUGUCGUUGCCCACCGGGAGACCUUUCAGCGAACCUUCUCCCUCUCCUGCCAGUCAAAGAAACCGCAUUCCUGAGACACCCUGAGGCAGAGCUCCCACAACAAGUGACUUCAAGACGUCUGAGAAACAGAAGAAAGGGACUUGUCCUUGAACCCUACAGCCUUGGGGUCUUGCCUCACCUCUCCUGACUCUGAGCUUCAGUUUCUUCUUCUGCAAAAUGAGGAAGAGAAAGAGAGAAAGGAUGAGAGAGAGUGGUGGCGGACAGACAGACGGAGAGGG